UCUGGUCCUAGAGGUGGUACAGGUAGGAAUGGGUGUUGUGUAACAUGUGUUUACAGUAGGUGGCAGAGAGAGGCUAUGUCUAUGCUCAGCUCAGUGUUCUGAUCUAUUCCUACUUGAAUGAUUAGCAGCCUAACAUU